UACGUAGGGUGCGAGCGUUAAUCGGAAUUACUGGGCGUAAAGCGUGCGCAGGCGGCUUUGCAAGACAGAUGUGAAAUCCCCGGGCUCAACCUGGGAACUGCAUUUGUGACUGCAAGGCUAGAGUACGGCAGAGGGGGAUGGAAUUCCGCGUGUAGCAGUGAAAUGCGUAGAUAUGCGGAGGAACACCAAUGGCGAAGGCACUCCCCUGGGCCUGUACUGACGCUCAUGCACGAAAGCGUGGGGAGCAAACAGG
rnacentral:rRNA from 1 species